GACGAACGCUGGCGGCAGGCUUAACACAUGCAAGUCGAACGAGAGGCGAAGGGGUGAGUAAUACGUGGGUAACCUGCCCUCUUUUUGGGGUAAGCCUUUGGAACGGGGUCUAAUAACGGAAAACGGGGGAUGGGGUCGGGGCGUAUCGUCUUGUUGGUGGGGUGCUGGCCUACGACGGCGGUGUCGGGUAGCCGGCCGGAGAGGGUGACUGGCAAUAUUGGGCGGGCGAUACGGCCACGACACCUACGGGAGGCAGAAGUUGGGGAUAUUGCACAAGGGGGGAACGGCUGAGGCAGGGACGCGGCGUGGGGGAUGAAGUUUUUAGGGUUGUAAACCUGUGUCGAUAGCGAACGGGUAGGUGGAGAAGAAGCGCCGGCUAACUACGUGCCAGCAGCCGCGGUAAUAC
rnacentral:rRNA from 1 species